UUCAUAUGUAAUUUUAGGGUGUCGGAUACCUAAUUUUGUUUUCACAAAACUAUUUUUCUUGUUACAGAACUUUGAUUGGAAUAAAAUGCAAAGAUGGGAUCGUUAUGGGAGUUGAAAAACUGAUAGCUUCAAAGAUGAUGUUACCCGGUUCUAAUCGAAGAAUCCACUCCGUUCUAAUCGAAGAAUCCACUCCGUUCAUCGCCAUUCCGGCAUGGUUGUGGCUGGAUUAGCGGCUGACGGUAGGCAAAUUGUGGCCCGUGCUAAAUCUGAAGCUACUAAUUACUAAAGGACGUGGUGGAGUAUGCCGAGACUGUUUUCUAUAGCAGAAGGAGCGCGGCAGCUGAGGACGGGCUGUUUUCGGACUUCGAACAGGACGACGGUGGGGGAGCCCGGAAAAGGUGGAGCCA